GUUGUACAUUGGGCGAGCUGAGCAGCAACGCCGCGUGCGGGACGAAGGCCUUCGGGUUGUAACCGCUUUCAGCAGGGACGAAGCCGCAAGGAGACGGCACCUGCAGAAGAAGCCCCGGCUAACCACGCGCCAGCAGCCGCGGUAAUACGUAGGGGGCGAGCGUUAUCCAUAUUCUUUGGGCAAAAAGCGCGCGUACGCGGCCUGCUAGGUCAGAACUCAAAUCCGGGGGCUCAACCCCCGCCCGGUUCCAAUACCGGCAGGCUUGAUUCUGGUAGGGAAAGGGGGAAUUCCGAGUGUACCGUUGGAAUGCCCAAAUAUUUGAAAAAACACCGGGGGCAAAGGCGGCCUUCUGGGACACAACGAACCUU
rnacentral:rRNA from 1 species